AAAUGAAUGAGGCGCACAUGCACCACAAAAAUGAACGUUGACCAUAAAUUAGACCAACCAAAUGUGGGAUAUACGUAAUAAAAAUUGUAUAAUUGUAUUGGUAUUCGGUGCAUGGCUGUCGUCAGCUCGUGCCGUAAGGUGUUGGGUUAAGUCUCGCAACGAGCGCAACCCUCGUGUUUAGUUGCCACUAUGAGUUUGGAACCCUGAACAGACCGCCGGUGUUAAGCCGGAGGAAGGAGAAGGUGAGGCCAAGUCAUCAUGCCCCUUAUGUCCUGGGCGACAAACGUGCUACAAUGGGUGGGACAAAGGGUCGCGAUCUCGCGAGGGUGAGCUAACUCCAAAAACCAGUCCUCUGUUCGGAUUGCAGGCUGCAACUCGCCUGCAUGAAGCAGGAAUCGCUAGUAAUUGCCGGUCAGCCAUACGGCAGUGAAUCUGUUCCCGGGCCUUGUACA
rfam:Triticum aestivum genome assembly, contig: Triticum_aestivum_CS42_TGACv1_scaffold_019764_1AS